GCUCAAUCAUCAAAAAUUUAAAAUGCUUUUGGAACAAUCUCUUUCCACCUGUGGCCUGGAAGACAUUCUGACAAGAAUGAAGAAGAAAGGAAUGGAAAACCAGAAGGGUGAAUGCCCACCUGUCAAGGAGCUGGUGAAGAAGAGGAACGAUGGCUCGAAGAAACCCCAGGCCACAUUGUCUUCUAGCAAACGGGUGAAAUCUACCUCUGAUGGACGCCUCCUACACCGUGCAAAAGCCCAGGUCACGUUACCUCCAGCUGUGGAAGAAACGGAGC